UUGUCUCAAAGAUUAAGCCAUGCAUGUCUAAGUAUAAGCAACUUGUACUGUGAAACUGCGAAUGGCUCAUUAAAUCAGUUAUCGUUUAUUUGAUAGUACCUUACUACAUGGAUACCUGUGGUAAUUCUAGAGCUAAUACAUGCUAAAAACCCCGACUUCAGGAAGGGGUGUAUUUAUUAGAUAAAAAACCAACGCCCUUCGGGGCUCCUUGGUGAAUCAUAAUAACUUAACGAAUCGCAUGGCCUUGCGCCGGCGAUGGUUCAUUCAAAUUUCUGCCCUAUCAACUUUCAAUGGUAGGAUAGUGGCCUACCAUGGUGGCAACGGGUAACGGGGAAUUAGGGUUCGAUUCCGGAGAGGGAGCCUGAGAAACGGCUACCACAUCCAAGGAAGGCAGCAGGCGCGCAAAUUACCCAAUCCCGACACGGGGAGGUAGUGACAAUAAAUACUGAUACAGGGCUCUUUUGGGUCUUGUAAUCGGAAUGAGUACAAUUUAAAUCCCUUAACGAGGAACAAUUGGAGG
rnacentral:rRNA from 1 species